rnacentral:rRNA from 1 species
AGCCAUGCACGCCCCAGUUCAGACUGUAUUAUGGUGAAACCGCGAAUGGCUCAUUAAAUCAGCUAUGAUUCCUUGGAUCAUAAUACUACAUGGAUAACUGUAGUAAUUCUAGAGCUAAUACAUGCCUCGAUGCCCUGAACCGUAAGGUGAGGGGUGCAUUUAUUAGAUCGCAAACCAAACGGGCUUGCCCGUGGCUUGUGAUGACUCUGGAUAACUUUGUAUGAUCGCAGUCGGCCCUGUUGUCGGCGACGGAUUCAUUAAAUGUCUGCCCUAUCAACUUUAGAUGGUAGGUGAUAUGCCUACCAUGGUGAUGACGGGUAACGGGGAAUCAGGGUUCGAUUCCGGAGAGGGAGCCUGAGAAACGGCUACCACAUCCAAGGAAGGCAGCAGGCGCGCAAAUUACCCACUCUCUGAACGAGGAGGUAGUGAAGAUAAAUAUCGAUACAGGACUCUACGAGGCUCUGUAAUCGAAAUGAGUGCAUUUUAAAUCCUACAACGAGGAUCUACUGGAGGGCAAGUCUGGUGCCAGCAGCCGCGGUAAUUCCAGCUCCAGAAGCGUAUAUUAAAGUUGCUGCAGUUAAAAAGCUCGUAGUUGGAUCUGGACUAUGAUGUGAUUGCCAUGUCCGGGGUUGGGCUGCUUUAAACGGCGGUCUAGCUCAGGCUGGUUGUUUCGCAUCUAGUCUCAUAGCUGUGUCUGUGUGGCCUUCACCGGUCGCAUGGAUGAUGUUGGGUGCCUGAUACUUACCCUCUUUUGGGGGUUUGUUCGGCCCAGUGUUAUGUUCUGUGUAUGCCCUUAAUCGGGUGUCCAGGACGGACAGCAUGUUUACUUUGAACAAAUUUGAGUGCUCAAAGCAGGCCGAUUGUUGCCUGAAAAGUCUUGCAUGGNAUAAUGGAAUAGGACUUCGGCCCUAUUUUGUUGGUUUGAUAGACCCGAAGUAAUGAUAAAGAGAGACAGACGGGGGCAUUUGUAUGGCGGCGCGAGAGGUGAAAUUCGUGGACCGUCGCCAGACAACCUAAAGCGAAAGCAUCUGCCAAGUAUGUUUUCAUUUACCAGGAGCGAAAGUCAGAGGUUCGAAGACGAUCAGAUACCGUCCUAGUUCUGACCAUAAACGAUGCCAACUGACGAUCCGUGUGUACUCUAUCAUCAUGAGUCCACGGGCAGUCUCCGGGAAACCUGUAAGUCUAUGGGUUCCGGGGAAAGUAUGGUUGCAAAGCUGAAACUUAAAGGAAUUGACGGAAGGGCACCACCAGGAGUGGAGCUUGCGGCUUAAUUUGACUCAACACGGGAAAACUCACCCGACCCGGACACUGUGAGGAUUGACAGAUUAAAAGCUCUUUCUUGAUUCGGUGGCUAGUGGUGCAUGGCCGUUCUUAGUUCGUGGUAUGAGUUGUCUGGUUAAUUCCGAUAACGAACGAGACUCUAACCUGCUAAAUAGUAAACUUGCAACAUUAUGGAGACCUUCACGGGUGGGCCUCGUGCCUGUCCGUGGAGCUUCGUAAGCAAGUGAGACUUCUUAGAGGGACUGGUGUCCUACAAGGCGCACGAGAAAGAGCAAUAACAGGUCUGUGAUGCCCUAAGAUGUCCGGGGCCGCACGCGUGCUACAAUGACGAUGCUAAUGAGUUUGAUAUUCUGGCUCGGAAGAGUCGGGCAAACUUGUGAAUCAUCGUCGUGACUGGGAUUGGGGUUUGUAAUUAUCCCCCAUGAACCAGGAAUUCCUAGUAAGUACAAGUCAUAAGCUUGUGCUGAUUACGUCCCUGCCCUUUGUACACACCGCCCGUCGCUACUACCGAUUGAACGGUUUAGCAAGGUCAUUGGAUUGGCCCCCAUGUGACUCACGUCGCUGGGAGCUGAGAAGAUGACCGAACUUGAUCGUUUAGAGGAAGUACAAGUCGUAACAAGGUUUCCGUAGGUGAACCUGCGGAAGGAUCACU